GACGAACGCUGGCGGCGUGCUUAACACAUGCAAGUCGAACGGAAAGGCCCUGCUUUUGUGGGGUGCUCGAGUGGCGAACGUGUGAGUAACACGUGAGUAACCUGCCCUUGACUUUGGGAUAACUUCAGGAAACUGGGGCUAAUACCGGAUAGGAGCUCCUGCUGCAUGGUGGGGGUUGGAAAGUUUCGGCGGUUGGGGAUGGACUCGCGGCUUAUCAGCUUGUUGGUGGGGUAGUGGCUUACCAAGGCUUUGACGGGUAGCCGGCCUGAGAGGGUGACCGGCGACAUUGGGACUGAGAUACGGCCCAGACUCCUACGGGAGGCAGCAGUGGGGAAUAUUGCACAAUGGGCGGAAGCCUGAUGCAGCAACGCCGCGUGCGGGAUGACGGCCUUCGGGUUGUAAACCGCUUUCGCCUGUGACGAAGCGUGAGUGACGGUAAUGGGUAAAGAAGCACCGGCUAACUACGUG
rnacentral:rRNA from 1 species